AUGAAUAUUCCGAAAAUUCUGAACAACAAUUUAGUUUUAAAGCGAAUUUUUUGUCGAAAUUACUCCGUUAAAGUGCUAGGAAUUGAAACAAGUUGUGACGAUACUGCAGUAGCAAUUGUCAACGAGAAACGAGAGAUUUUAUCUUCAGAGCGGUACACAGAACGGGCGAUUCAGAGACAACAAGGCGGGAUUAAUCCUUCAGUCUGCGCACUUCAACACCGUGAGAACCUUCCAAGGCUUAUAGAAAAGUGUCUGAACGACGCUGGAACAUCACCGAAAGAUCUGGAUGCAGUAGCGGUUACAGUAACGCCUGGAUUAGUUAUUGCACUUAAAGAGGGAAUUUCAGCGGCGAUUGGAUUUGCAAAAAAACAUCGUCUUCCACUGAUUCCAGUUCAUCAUAUGAGAGCCCAUGCUCUGUCAAUUCUUCUCGUCGAUGAUUCAGUGCGAUUUCCAUUUUCAGCAGUUCUUCUUUCGGGUGGUCAUGCAUUGAUUUCUGUUGCAGAAGAUGUCGAGAAAUUCAAAUUGCCAAAGUGUCAGUGGAAGCCCGGGCGAGUGCAUUGACAAAGUUGCGCGGCAGCUUGGAGAUCUUGGAUCAGAAUUCGAUGGGAUUCAUGUGGGCGCUGCGGUGGAAAUUCUAGCCUCUAGAGCCUCUGCUGAUGGCCAUUUGAGAUAUCCCAUAUUUCUUCCAAACGUUCCAAAAGCUAAUAUGAACUUCGAUCAAAUCAAAGGAUCCUAUCUGAAUUUGCUGGAAAGAUUGAGAAAAAACUCUGAAACAUCAAUUGAUAUUCCAGAUUUUUGUGCUAGCCUUCAGAACACCGUAGCCCGACAUAUCUCGAGCAAACUUCACAUCUUCUUCGAAAGUCUCUCCGAGCAGGAAAAACUUCCAAAACAGCUGGUGAUCGGCGGCGGAGUGGCGGCGAAUCAGUACAUUUUUGGAGCAAUCUCAAAACUAUCAGCUGCUCACAAUGUCACAACCAUCAAAGUCCUCUUGUCCCUUUGCACAGACAAUGCCGAAAUGAUCGCCUACAGUGGCCUUCUGAUGCUCGUCAAUCGAUCGGAGGCAAUUUGGUGGCGACCGAAUGACAUUCCUGACACAAUUUAUGCACACGCUAGAAGCGAUAUUGGGACGGAUGCUUCUUCGGAAAUCAUUGAUACACCGCGUCGGAAACUGGUGACAUCCACGAUCCAUGGCACCGAGCGGAUACGAUUCCGGAAUCUGGAUGAUUUUAAGAAGCCUAAAAGCCCUAAAACAACUGAAUGA
rnacentral:misc_RNA from 1 species